CAGUAACCCUCGCGAUGGCUGUGCAUGCUUGCGGGGGAGAGUAUGCAACACAGAGCAACUGGAGUAACCCUCAGUCCCAGGACACAGGAUGGCAGGACAAGCACUGAGCAGGCUCCCAGAGGUGUCUUCUCCUGGGAAAAGGGCUGCCGAGUGACCACGGUGGAGGCAAGUGCUGGAUGUGGGGACAGGCCAUGUCCCCAAAGCCCCUAGAGGGUGUUCUCUGAAGACCCGCAGGGCCAGAUCCUCCAAAAUGUCUUGAGCUGGUUCUCCCUUCUGCCUGCCCCCACUCUGAGGUCCCGGGGGGUCCAGGGGGGGCCCGUCGUCAAUGACUCUUGACAAGGGUGGCGCAGACGCACCUAACCUGACAAGGACCACCCUGGAAAAGUCUGUGGCCACAGCUCCUUGACCACUUGUCACCCCUUCCUCAGAUGGCAGGGUGGAGGCAUGGGACUCAAGCUACCAACAGAAGCGAACCUGGAUCCUUCCCAGUUCUCUCUGUCAGGAUCUGGAACUUCCAUGCAGUCAGACUCCAUGCCGUGGGUAGGGAGGAAGGUUGUGCUGGCUGAAGGACCCUCAUCAACCUGGUCAUAACCACGGCGUAAGAGCCUGGCUAGAGGGGCCCCUCCAUUCUGCCCACUGAGUCAGACUGCUUUUGCUGAAAGCAGAAAUCCCAGACCCUCUGCUCACUCCUCACAGGGACAAGCUAUGAGAUGCCAAGACUACUGGAAUCCAGCACUGCUUGCACCAGUCUAUGUAGCCUGUACAAAUGUGAGCAUCUCCCCUCCCAGACAGCCUGAGGCCCAGGACGGCACGACAAGAAUGCAGGCCUGUGCCAAAUGGGGCAUGUGCCUGGCAGGACUACUUGGGCAAGACUAGAAGAGGAGGUAGGAAUCCAGAAAUGAGACGCAGAACUGUCCCCAGGUCUUCACUGUUGACACACUAGCUGGUUUCACUCACAUCUCAGCAACAAAAACCUGUAUUUAAGCGGCUAAUUCCAGAGAUGAGUAGUGGAGAGAGCAAAUGAGCCUGGUUAGAGCUCACUCUGGGAGGAGUAUGUGGACGACACUUGGCUGUCUCUUCAGGGGGCCAGGCUGGGCCCCCAGCACUCCCGGCAGUGGAAAGGCAGAGCUGGCUGCCAGCUCUGGCCUCCACCUGGGAUUCACUCCCAUCCUGGCUCAGAUCUGUGGCUGUGCUUCACCCAGUGGGUCCUCCCUCAAGGAGCCAGGCGGGAUCUGCAGGGAUAAAGCAGGUGGUGGAAAUGGAGAGCAGGUCUUCCUCCGUGCUUUCCAUCACCCCCGUUCCUGCACUGCAGCG
rnacentral:lncRNA from 1 species